rnacentral:rRNA from 1 species
AUUGAACGCUGGCGGCAGGCCUAACACAUGCAAGUCGAGCGGCAGCACGGGAAAGUUUACUUUCUGGGUGGCGAGCGGCGGACGGGUGAGUAAUGGCUGGGAACCUGCCCUAACGAGGGGGAUAACAGUUGGAAACGACUGCUAAUACCGCAUAAUGUCAUUUAGGUGACCAAAGAGGAGGACCUUCGGGCUUCUCGCGUUGGGAUGGGCCCAGUUGGGAUUAGCUAGUUGGUGGGGUAAAGGCUCACCAAGGCGACGAUCCCUAGCUGGUUUGAGAGGAUGAUCAGCCACACUGGAACUGAGACAGGAUCAAACCCUUCUUGACG